UACAGAGGGGGCAAGCGUUGUUCGGAAUUACUGGGCGUAAAGGGCGCGUAGGCGGCCUUCUAAGUCAGACGUGAAAUCCCUCGGCUCAACCGGGGAACUGCGUCUGAGACUGGAAGGCUUGAAUCCGGGAGAGGGAUGUGGAAUUCCAGGUGUAGCGGUGAAAUGCGUAGAUAUCUGGAGGAACACCGGUGGCGAAAGCGGCUCACUGGACCCGAUCUGACACUGAUGUGCGAAAGCUAGGGUAGCAAACGGG
rnacentral:rRNA from 1 species